UAACUGGGCGUAAAGGGCACGCAGGCGGUGACUUAAGUGAGGUGUGAAAGCCCCGGGCUUAACCUGGGAAUUGCAUUUCAUACUGGGUCGCUAGAGUACUUUAGGGAGGGGUAGAAUUCCACGUGUAGCGGUGAAAUGCGUAGAGAUGUGGAGGAAUACCGAAGGCGAAGGCAGCCCCUUGGGAAUGUACUGACGCUCAUGUGCGAAAGCGUGGGGAGCAAACAGGAUUAGAUACCCUGGUAGUCCACGCUGUAAACGAUGUCGAUUUGGGGGUUGAACUUUAAGUUUGGCGCCCGUAGCUAACGUGAUAAAUCGACCGCCUGGGGAGUACGGCCGCAAGGUUAAAACUCAAAUGAAUUGACGGGGGCCCGCACAAGCGGUGGAGCAUGUGGUUUAAUUCGAUGCAACGCGAAGAACCUUACCUACUCUUGACAUCCAGAGAACUUUCCAGAGAUGGAUUGGUGCCUUCGGGAACUCUGAGACAGGUGCUGCAUGGCUGUCGUCAGCUCGUGUCGUGAG
rnacentral:rRNA from 1 species